rnacentral:rRNA from 1 species
GUUCGGUCCCUAUCCGUCGUGGGCGUAGGAAAUUUGAGAGGAGCUGUCCUUAGUACGAGAGGACCGGGAUGGACAUACCUCUGGUGUACCAGUUGUCGUGCCAACGGCAUAGCUGGGUAGCUAUGUGUGGACGGGAUAAGUGCUGAAAGCAUCUAAGCAUGAAGCCCCCCUCAAGAUGAGAUUUCCCAACUUCGGUUAUAAGAUCCCUCAAAGAUGAUGAGGUUAAUAGGUUCGAGGUGGAAGCAUGGUGACAUGUGGAGCUGACGAAUACUAAUCGAUCGAAGACUUAAUCAAAUU